rnacentral:rRNA from 1 species
UACGGAAGGCAGCAGUGGGGAAUAUUGCACAAUGGGCGAAAGCCUGAUGCAGCUAUGCCGCGUGUAUGAAGAAGGCCUUAGGGUUGUAAAGUACUUUCAUCGGGGAGGAAAAAACAAAACUAAUAAUUUUAUUUCUUGACGUUACCCGAAAAAGAAGCACCGGCUAACUCCGUGCCAGCAGCCGCGGUAAUACGGAGGGUGCUAGCGUUAAUCAGAAUUACUGGGCGUAAAGAGCACGUAGGUGGUUUUUUUAAGUCAGAUGUGAAAUCCCUGGGCUUAACCUAGGAACUGCAUUUUGAAACUGAAAUACUAGAGUAUCGUAGAGGGAGGUAGAAUUCUAGGUGUAGCGGUGAAAUGCGUAGAUAUCUGGAGGAAUACCUGUGGCGAAAGCGGCCUCCUAAACGAAUACUGACACUGAGGUGCGAAAGCGUGGGGAGCAAACGAGGGAUUAGGAUA